rnacentral:rRNA from 1 species
UGCUAAAAAUCCCGAAUGGGGAAGGGAUGUAUUUAUUAGAUUAAAAACCAAUGCCCUUCGGGACUCACUGGUGAUUCAUGAUAACUCCUCGAAUCGCAUGGCCUUGUGCCGGCGGCUGAAAAUUCAAAUUUCUUCCCUAUCAACUUUCGAUGUUUGGGUAUUGGCCAAACAUGGUUGCAACGGGUAACGGAGGGUUAGGGCUCGACCCCGGAGAAGGAGCCUGAGAAACGGCUACUACAUCCAAGGAAGGCAGCAGGCGCGCAAAUUACCCAAUCCCGACACGGGGAGGUAGUGACAAUAAAUACUGAUACAGGGCUCUUUUGGGUCUUGUAAUUGGAAUGAGUACAAUUUAAAUCCCUUAACGAGGAACAAUUGGAGGGCAAGUCUGGUGCCAGCAGCCGCGGUAAUUCCAGCUCCAAUAGCGUAUAUUAAAGUUGUUGUGGUUAAAAAGCUCGUAGUUGAACCUUGGGCCUGGCUGGCCGGUCCGCCUCACCGCGUGUACUGGUCCGGCCGGGCCUUUCCCUCUGUGGAACCCCAUGCCCUUCACUGGGUGUGGCGGGGAAACAGGACUUUUACUGUGAAAAAAUUAGAGUGCUCCAGGCAGGCCUAUGCUCGAAUACAUUAGCAUGGAAUAAUAGAAUAGGACGUGUGGUUCUAUUUUGUUGGUUUCUAGGACCGCCGUAAUG